rnacentral:rRNA from 1 species
CAAGAAGNNGCAGGCGCGCAAAUUACCCACUCCCGGCACGGGGAGGUAGUGACGAAAAAUAACGAUACGGGACUCAUCCGAGGCCCCGUAAUCGGAAUGAGCACACUUUAAACCCUUUAACGAGUAUCCAUUGGAGGGCAAGUCUGGUGCCAGCAGCCGCGGUAAUUCCAGCUCCAAUAGCGUAUAUUAAAGUUGUUGCGGUUAAAAAGCUCGUAGUUGGACUUGUGUCCCACGCUGUCGGUUCACCGUUCGUCGGUGUCUAACUGGCAUGCCCGUGCGGACGUCCUGCCGGUGGAUGCGGCCGGCCGCGGGCCUUCGCGGGUCUGCGCGUCGGCGGUCCGAUGCAAUCCUACCGCGGUGCUCUUCACCGAGUGUCGAGGUGGGCCGGCACGUUUACUUUGAACAAAUUAGAGUGCUCAAAGCAGGCAGUGGCUCGCCUGAAUAUUGUGUGCAUGGAAUAAUGGAAUAGGACCUCGGUUCUAUUUUGUUGGUUUUCGGAACCAGAGGUAAUGAUUAAUAGGGACAGAUGGGGGCAUUCGUAUUGCGACGUUAGAGGUGAAAUUCUUGGAUCGUCGCAAGACGAACCUAAGCGAAAGCAUUUGCCAUAGAUGUUUUCAUUAAUCAAGAACGAAAGUUAGAGGUUCGAAGGCGAUCAGAUACCGCCCUAGUUCUAACCAUAAACGAUGCCAGCCAGCGAUCCGCCGAAGUUCCUCCGAUGACUCGGCGGGCAGCUUCCGGGAAACCAAAGCUUUUGGGUUCCGGGGGAAGUAUGGUUGCAAAGCUGAAACUUAAAGGAAUUGACGGAAGGGCACCACCAGGAGUGGAGCCUGCGGCUUAAUUUGACUCAACACGGGAAACCUCACCAGGCCCGGACACCGGANGGAUUGACAGAUUGAGAGCUCUUUCUUGAUUCGGUGGGUGGUGGUGCAUGGCCGUUCUUAGUUGGUGGAGUGAUUUGUCUGGUUAAUUC